GACGUAGGGCGCGAGCGUUGUCCGGAUUUAUUGGGCGUAAAGAGCUCGUAGGCGGCUUGUCGCGUCGUGUGUGAAAUCUCAGGGCUCAACUCUGACAUUGCAUACGAUACGGGCAGGCUUGAGUUCGGUAGGGGAGACUGGAAUUCCUGGUGUAGCGGUGAAAUGCGCAGAUAUCAGGAGGAACACCGGUGGCGAAGGCGGGUCUCUGGGCAGUAACUGACGCUGAGGAGCGAAAGCGUGGGGAGCGAACAGG
rnacentral:rRNA from 1 species